CCUACGGGUGGCAGCAGUGAGGAAUAUUGGUCAAUGGCCGGAAGGCUGAACCAGCCAAGCCGCGUGAAGGACGAAGGUGCCAAGCAUUGUAAACUUCUUUUGUCAAGGGACAAAAUCAGGCUCGAGAGCCUGACCGAGGGUACUUGAAGAAAAAGCAUCGGCUAACUCCGUGCCAGCGGCCGCGGUAAGACGGAGGAUGCGAGGGUUAUCGGGAUUUAUUGGGUUUAAAGGGUGCGAAGGGGGAUGGUUAAGUCAGCGGUAAAGGCCCGGGGCUCAACCCCGGCGAGCCGUUGAAACUGGCUGUCUUGAGAUGUCGAGAGGUAUGCGGAAUGCGCAGUGGAGCGGUGAAAUGCUUAGAUAUUGCGCAGAACUCCGAUUGCGAAGGCAGCAUACCGGCGGCGAUCUGACGCUGAGGCACGAAAGCGUGGGUAUCGAACAGGAUUAGAUACCCCUGUAGUC
rnacentral:rRNA from 1 species